rfam:TPA: Bos taurus chromosome 23, whole genome shotgun sequence.
UCCCUGGUGGUCCAGUGGUUAAGACUCCAUGCUUCCACUGCAGGGGGUUUGGGUUCAAUUCCUGGUCAGGGAA